rnacentral:rRNA from 1 species
CCUACGGGAGGCAGCAGUGAGGAAUAUUGGUCAAUGGCCGGAAGGCUGAACCAGCCAUGCCGCGUGAAGGUCGGUGCCCUAUGGGCGUUAAACUUCUUUUGUGCGGGAGCAAUAAUGGUCACGUGUGGCCAGACGAGAGUACCGUACGAAUAAGCAUCGGCAAACUCCGUGCAAGCAGCGGCGGUAAUAAGGGGGAUGCAAGCGUUAUCUGGAUUUAUUGGGUUUAAAGGGUGCGUAGGCUGUGAGGUAAGUCAGCGGUGAAAUGCCCCCGCUCAACGGGGUGAAGUGCCAUUGAUACUGCCUUGCGGGAAUGCGGAUGCCGUGGGAGGAAUGUGUGGUGUAGCGGUGAAAUGCAUAGAUAUCACACAGAACACCGAUUGCGAAGGCAUCUCACGAAUCCGCGAUUGACGCUGAUGCACGAAAGCGUGGGUAUCAAACAGGAUUAGAUACCCUUGUAGUC